AAAAAUCUUUAUUCUAGGUUAAAAAAUCUUUAUUCUGGGUUUUCGUUGAAGAUCAAUACAAAAUUUUUUAACUUUCUUUUUUUUUUCUUUAUUUUUCAUUCUCUUCUGUUUCUCCUCUGUUUUCCUCCCUUCUCUGUUUCUUUUAACAUAGUUUUUCUAUAUUUUCCGUUUGUUAAAACUAGUCUCUAUACUUUAUUUUGAUAUUGGGUAUUUCUUAUAUGUUCUGUUUAAUCUUCCUUUUAAUUAGUUUUUAAUAUAUUUUCAACUGAGGGUAACAAUUUUGUAUUGCUCUUCAAUGAAAAUCCAAAAUAAAGAUUUUUUUAAUCUUUUUUU
rnacentral:lncRNA from 1 species